rnacentral:rRNA from 1 species
AAACCAGCACCUCAAGUGGUCAGGAUGAUUAUUGGGCCUAAAGCAUCCGUAGCCUGUUCUGUAAGUUUCCGGGUAAAUCCAUUAGCUCAACUAAUGGGCCGCCGAAAAUACUGCAAAACUAGGGAGUGGGAGAGGUAGACGGUACUCGGUAGGAAGGGGUAAAAUCCUUUGAUCUAUUGAUGACCACCUGUGGCGAAGGCGGUCUGCCAGAACACGUUCGACGGUGAGGGAUGAAAGCUGGGGGAGCAAACCGGAUUAGAAACCCCAGUAGUCC